CAGUCGCCGCGGUAAUACGAGGGGGGCAAGCGUUGUUCGGAAUUAUUGGGCGUAAAGGGCGCGUAGGCGGUUUGGCAAGUUUGGUGUGAAAUCUUCGGGCUCAACUCGAAGUCUGCACCGAAAACUGCCGGGCUUGAGUAUGGGAGAGGUGAGUGGAAUUUCCGGUGUAGCGGUGAAAUGCGUAGAUAUCGGAAGGAACACCUGUGGCGAAAGCGGCUCACUGGACCAUUACUGACGCUGAGGCGCGAAAGCUAGGGGAGCAAACAGGAUUAGAUACCCCAGUAGUCCCUGUCUCUUAUAC
rnacentral:rRNA from 1 species